GAUGAACGCUGGCGGCGUGCCUAAUACAUGCAAGUCGAGCGAACAGACGAGGAGCUUGCUCCUCUGACGUUAGCGGCGGACGGGUGAGUAACACGUGGAUAACCUACCUAUAAGACUGGGAUAACUUCGGGAAACCGGAGCUAAUACCGGAUAACAUGUUGAACCGCAUGGUUCAACAGUGAAAGACGGUUUUGCUGUCACUUAUAGAUGGAUCCGCGCCGCAUUAGCUAGUUGGUAAGGUAACGGCUUACCAAGGCAACGAUGCGUAGCCGACCUGAGAGGGUGAUCGGCCACACUGGAACUGAGACACGGUCCAGACUCCUACGGGAGGCAGCAGUAGGGAAUCUUCCGCAAUGGGCGAAAGCAUGACGGAGCAACGCCGCGUGAGUGAAGGAGGUCUUCGGAUCGUAAAACUCUGUUAUUAGGGAAGAACAAAUGUGUAAGUAACUAUGCACGUCUUGACGGUACCUAAUCAGAAAGCCACGGCUAACUACGUG
rnacentral:rRNA from 1 species